rnacentral:rRNA from 1 species
UACGUAGGGGGCAAGCGUUGUCCGGAAUCAUUGGGCGUAAAGAGCGCGUAGGCGGCCUGGUAAGUCCGCUGUGAAAGUCCAGGGCUCAACCCUGGAAUGCCGGUGGAAACUGUCAGGCUCGAGUCCGGAAGAGGCGAGUGGAAUUCCUGGUGUAGCGGUGAAAUGCGCAGAUAUCAGGAGGAACACCAAUGGCGAAGGCAGCUCGCUGGGACGGUACUGACGCUGAGACGCGAAAGCGUGGGGAGCAAACAGG